AAAGGACAAGCUGUGAUGGGGAGCGAAAUUUAGUAGCGAAGUUCCUGAUGUCACACUGCCAAGAAAAGCUUCUAGUGAGAAAGUAACUGCCCGUACCGCAAACCGACACAGGUAGUUGAGGAGAGAAUCCUAAGGUGUGCGAGAGAACUCUCGUUAAGGAACUCGGCAAAAUGACCCCGUAACUUCGGGAGAAGGGGUGCUGACCGCAAGGUCAGCCGCAGUGAAUAGGCCCAAGCGACUGUUUAUCAAAAACACAGGUCUCUGCAAAAUCGAAAGAUGACGUAUAGGGGCUGACGCCUGCCCGGUGCUGGAAGGUUAAGAGGAGAGGUUAGCGCAAGCGAAGCUUUGAAUUGAAGCCCCAGUAAACGGCGGCCGUAACAAUAACGGUCCUAAGGUAGCGAAAUUCCUUGUCGGGUAAGUUCCGACCCGCACGAAAGGCGUAACGAUUUGGGCACUGUCUCAACGAGAGACUCGGUGAAAUUAUAGUACCAGUGAAGAUGCUGGUUACCCGCGACAGGACGGGAAGACCCCAUGGAGCUUUACUGCAGUUUGAUAUUGCGUGUUUGUAUCACAUGUACAGGAUAGGUAGGAGCCGAAGAUACCGGGACGCCAGUCUCGGAGGAGGCAACGGUGGGAUACUACCCUUGUGAUAUGACCACUCUAACCCGCUGCUCUUAGCGAGCAGGGAGACAGUGUCAGACGGGCAGUUUGACUGGGGCGGUCGCCUCCAAAAAUGUAACGGAGGCGCCCAAAGGUUCCCUCAGAAUGGUUGGAAAUCAUUCGUAGAGUGUAAAGGCAGAAGGGAGCUUGACCGCGAGACCUACAAGUCGAGCAGGGACGAAAGUCGGGCUUAGUGAUCCGGUGGUUCCGCAUGGAAGGGCCAUCGCUCAACGGAUAAAAGCUACCCUGGGGAUAACAGGCUUAUCUCCCCCAAGAGUUCACAUCGACGGGGAGGUUUGGCACCUCGAUGUCGGCUCAUCGCAUCCUGGGGCUGUAGUCGGUCCCAAGGGUUGGGCUGUUCGCCCAUUAAAGCGGUACGCGAGCUGGGUUCAGAACGUCGUGAGACAGUUCGGUCCCUAUCCGUCGCGGGCGUUGGAAAUUUGAGAGGAGCUGUCCUUAGUACGAGAGGACCGGGAUGGACACACCGCUGGUGUACCAGUUGUUCUGCCAAGAGCAUCGCUGGGUAGCUAUGUGUGGACGGGAUAAACGCUGAAAGCAUCUAAGCGUGAAGCCCCCCUCAAGAUGAGAUUUCCCAUCACUUUAAGUGAGUAAGACCCCUGAGAGAUGAUCAGGUAGAUAGGUUGGGAGUGGAAGUACAGCGAUGUAUGGAGCGGACCAAUACUAAUCGGUCGAGGACUUAACCUA
rnacentral:rRNA from 1 species